rnacentral:lncRNA from 1 species
CGAAAGUCCUGUAUGUUCGGCCGCCGAACAUUGGCUUUCGGCCGCCGAAGGUGGUUUGCUCCCUAAGCAAAAUGUUUGGCUUCCAAAAGUGAAGGACAGAGGCAAAAGUCACCUAUGUUCGGCCGCCGAACAUUACCUUCGGCCGCCAAAAGCGUGCUUUUAAGUCUGCCUCCGAAGCCUAAUGUUCGGCUUCCGAAAGAGAGGGACAGAGACGAAAGUCCCACAAGUUCGGCCGCCGAACUAUGACUUUAGGCCGCCGAAAGUCCUUUUUUAAAGAGUGAUGUUCUUCACCUGAAUUGGUUCGGCCACCGAACUUUAGCUUAGGCCGCCGAACCUGAAUUUCUCUGAGAAAAAUAUAACGGUUAUUUCUGAACAUAAACGGCUCUAUUUGCAUUUAAUGCACCCCCA